rnacentral:tmRNA from 1 species
GGGGGUGCACUGGCUUCGACGGGGGUCGCGAAAUCGCACGGCGCAUGCCGAGGGGGUGGCUUUCCUCGUUAAUCCAGCUGCAAAAACCCAGACGCCAACGACGACGUCUACGCUCUCGCCGCUUAAGGCGUAAGCCCCGAACCCACUUGUGCCCUUGCUCGUGGAUGUAGGGUCAUUAUCAAGGGAAUAGGCACCGGCGGCGACCCGCCAACCGGCGCCGAAACACAGCGGGUAUGGAUGACGGCGUGCUUCGCACGUUGUGUUGCCGGCAUCCGAGACCAAACAACGGGCUAAGCAUGUAGUGCCGGGCAUGGAGUGCCUUCGGACGGGGGUUCGAUUCCCCCCAUCUCCACCA